AGGACGAACGCUGGCGGCGUGCUUAACACAUGCAAGUCGAGCGGAAAGGCCCUUCGGGGUACUCGAGCGGCGAACGGGUGAGUAACACGUGAGCAAUCUGCCCUUAGCUUCGGGAUAGCUCCGGGAAACCGGAAUUAAUACCGAAUAUGACUUCGGCCGACAUCGGCCUUGGUGGAAAGUUUUUCGGCUAGGGAUGAACUCGCGGCCUAUCAGCUUGUUGGUGGGGUAAUGGCCUACCAAGGCGACGACGGGUAGCCGGCCUGAGAGGGCGACCGGCCACACUGGGACUGAGACACGGCCCAGACUCCUACGGGAGGCAGCAGUGGGGAAUAUUGCGCAAUGGGCGAAAGCCUGACGCAGCGACGCCGCGUGGGGGAUGAAGGCCUUCGGGUUGUAAACCCCUUUCAGCAGGGACGAAGCGAAAGUGACGGUACCGCAGAAGAAGCGCCGGCUAACUACGUGCCAGCAGCCGC
rnacentral:rRNA from 1 species